CUACCUGUCAUACUAGAGUGAGCGAUGAGGAUCGUUUGCUGUUUUAUGAGGGACUGACUGGGGUUACCAGUAGGAAGUUUGAGGCAAUAACAGGUCUGUGAUGCCCUUAGAUGUUCUGGGCUGCACGCGCGCUACACUGAUGGAGGCAGCGAGUGUUGCCUGUGCCGGAAGGCAUGGGAAAUCUUGUGAAACUCCAUCGUGCUGGGGAUAGACCAUUGCAAUUAUUGGUCUUCAACGAGGAAUUCCUAGUAAGCGCAAGUCAUCAGCUUGCGUUGAUUACGUCCCUGCCCUUUGUACACACCGCCCGUCGCU
rnacentral:rRNA from 1 species